CGAACGGGUGAGUAACACGUGGGUGAUCUGCCUUGCACUCUGGGAUAAGCUUGGGAAACUGGGUCUAAUACCGGAUAGGAACCGUCUUUAGUGUGGUGGUUGGAAAGUUUUUCGGUGCAAGAUGAGCUCGCGGCCUAUCAGCUUGUUUGUGGGGUAAUGGCCUACCAAGGCGUCGACGGGUAGCCGGCCUGAGAGGGUGUACGGCCACAUUGGGACUGAGAUACGGCCCAG
rnacentral:rRNA from 1 species